GAUGAACGCUGGCGGCGUGCCUAAUACAUGCAAGUCGAGCGAACGGACGAGAAGCUUGCUUCUCUGAUGUUAGCGGCGGACGGGUGAGUAACACGUGGAUAACCUACCUAUAAGACUGAGAUAACUUCGGGAAACCGGAGCUAAUACCGGAUAAUAUUUUGAACCGCAUGGUUCAAAAGUGAAAGACGGUCUUGCUGUCACUUAUAGAUGGAUCCGCGCUGCAUUAGCUAGUUGGUAAGGUAACGGCUUACCAAGGCAACGAUGCAUAGCCGACCUGAGAGGGUGAUCGGCCGCACUGGAACUGAGACACGGUCCAGACUCCUACGGGAGGCAGCAGUAGGGAAUCUUCCGCAAUGGGCGAAAGCCUGACGGAGCAACGCCGCGUGAGUGAUGAAGGUCUUCGGAUCGUAAAACUCUGUUAUUAGGGAAGAACAUAUGUGUAAGUAACUGUGCACAUCUUGACGGUACCUAAUCAGAAAGCCACGGCUAACUACGUG
rnacentral:rRNA from 1 species